GAUGAACGCUAGCUACAGGCUUAACACAUGCAAGUCGAGGGACCGGCGCACGGGUGAGUAACACGUAUCCAACCUGCCCUUUACUCGGGGAUAGCCUUUCGCAAGAAAGAUUAAUACCCGAUGUAAAGGAUGGGGAUGCGUUCCAUUAGGUUGUUGGUGAGGUAACGGCCCACCAAGCCUUCGAUGGAUAGGGGUUCUGAGAGGAAGGUCCGCCACACUGGAACUGAGACACGGUCCAAACGCCUACGGGAGGCAGCAGUGAGGAAUAUUGGUCAAUGGGCGUUAGCCUGAUGCAGCCAUGCCGCGUGUAUGAAGAAGGCUUCGGGUUGUAAAGUACUUUCAGCGGGGAGGCGUUACCCGCAGAAGAAGCACCGGCUAACUCCGUGCCAGCAGCCGCGGUAAUAC
rnacentral:rRNA from 1 species